UUCUCACCAUGAUGUUAGCACUGGGCUCUGACACUCUGAGGGAUACAUGUGCCACUCGGUGACUUGACACUCCGAGUGCCUGAGUGAGAA